GUGCUUGCUUUGGUAGCAUAUACACUAAAAUUAGAAAAUACAGAGAUUAGUAUGGCCCCUCCAUAAGGAUGACGCACUAGUUUGCAUUCCUGCAUACUUCU
ensembl:snRNA U6 U6 spliceosomal RNA